GAUGAACGCUAGCGGCAGGCUUAACACAUGCAAGUCGAGGGGUAUAGUUCUUUGGAACUAGAGACCGGCGCACGGGUGCGUAACGCGUAUGCAAUCUACCUUUUGCAGAGGGAUAGCCCAGAGAAAUUUGGAUUAAUACCUCAUAGUAUGUGAGAAUGGCAUCAUUUUCACAUUAAAGUCACAACGGCAAAAGAUGAGCAUGCGUCCCAUUAGCUUGUUGGUAAGGUAACGGCUUACCAAGGCAACGAUGGGUAGGGGUCCUGAGAGGGAGAUCCCCCACACUGGUACUGAGACACGGACCAGACUCCUACGGGAGGCAGCAGUGAGGAAUAUUGGACAAUGGGCGCAAGCCUGAUCCAGCCAUGCCGCGUGCAGGAUGACGGUCCUAUGGAUUGUAAACUGCUUUUGUACAGGAAGAAACACUGGUUCGUGAACCAGCUUGACGGUACUGUAAGAAUAAGGAUCGGCUAACUCCGUGCCAGCCGCCGCAGUAACAC
rnacentral:rRNA from 1 species